AUUUAAAUAGUUUAAAAAAAAUUUUGAAGUGUGGAUUCAAAGAUGUAUUAAAUACUUUAAAUU
rnacentral:tRNA from 1 species